GGGUUGUGAGGUUAAGCGACUAAGCGUACACGGUGGAUGCCCUGGCAGUCAGAGGCGAUGAAGGGCGUGCUAAUCUGCGAUAAGCGCCGGUAAGGUGAUAUGAACCGUUAUAACCGGCGAUACCCGAAUGGGGAAACCCAGUGUGAUUCGUCACACUAUCAUUAACUGAAUCCAUAGGUUAAUGAGGCGAACCGGGGGAACUGAAACAUCUAAGUACCCCGAGGAAAAGAAAUCAACCGAGAUUCCCCCAGUAGCGGCGAGCGAACGGGGAGGAGCCCAGAGCCUGAAUCAGCAUGUGUGUUAGUGGAAGCGUCUGGAAAGGCGCGCGAUACAGGGUGACAGCCCCGUACACAAAAGCGUAUGUGCUGUGAGCUCGAUGAGUAGGGCGGGACACGUGGUAUCCUGUCUGAAUAUGGGGGGACCAUCCUCCAAGGCUAAAUACUCCUGACUGACCGAUAGUGAACCAGUACCGUGAGGGAAAGGCGAAAAGAACCCCGGCGAGGGGAGUGAAAAAGAACCUGAAACCGUGUACGUACAAGCAGUGGGAGCACCCUUUGGGGUGUGACUGCGUACCUUUUGUAUAAUGGGUCAGCGACUUAUAUUCUGUAGCAAGGUUAACCGAAUAGGGGAGCCGGAGGGAAACCGAGUCUUAAUUGGGCGUUAAGUUGCAGGGUAUAGACCCGAAACCCGGUGAUCUAGCCAUGGGCAGGUUGAAGGUUGGGUAACACUAACUGGAGGACCGAACCGACUAAUGUUGAAAAAUUAGCGGAUGACCUGUGGCUGGGGGUGAAAGGCCAAUCAAACCGGGAGAUAGCUGGUUCUCCCCGAAAGCUAUUUAGGUAGCGCCUCGUGAAUUCAUCUCCGGGGGUAGAGCACUGUUUCGGCUAGGGGGUCAU
rnacentral:rRNA from 1 species